rnacentral:rRNA from 1 species
CCUACGGGUGGCAGCAGUGGGGAAUAUUGCACCAUGGGGGAAACCCUGAUGCAGCGACGCCGCGUGAGUGAUGAAGUAUUUCGGUAUGUAAAGCUCUAUCAGCAGGGAAGAUAAUGACGGUAUCUGACUAAGAAGCCCCGGCUAACUACGUGCCAGCAGCCGCGGUAAUACGGAGGGGGCAAGCGUUACUCGGAUUUACUGGGCGUAAAGGGUGCGUAGGUGGCAGGGCAAGUCAGAUGUGAAAUCCCGGGGCUCAACCCUGGUACUGCAUUUGAAACUGUCCAGCUAGAGUACAGGAGAGGUAAGCGGAAUUCCUAGUGUAGCGGUGAAAUGCGUAGAUAUUAAGAGGAACACCAGUGGCGAAGGCGACUUACUGGACUGUAACUGACACUGAGGCACGAAAGCGUGGGGAGCAAACAGGAUUAGAUACCCCAGUAGUC